rnacentral:tRNA from 1 species
AAAGGGAGACCUAAUUCAGGUAUAAGACGAAAAAAAGUAGUCCCUACCAAGAAUCAAUCCCAAAAGGUCGGAACGAGGUAUGAGGCUUUCAAACUAGGUUCUGGGUUCAUAAAAGACCUGAAUCAGGAACAAGGGCUAUUAGCUCAGGUGGUUAGAGCGCACCCCUGAUAAGGGUGAGGUCCCUGGUUCGAGUCCAGGAUGGCCCACCUGCACAGGUGGCAAAAACAAGAGAAGCGAGGAAUCAGCACCUUAUCUUAUAUACAUAUAUAAGAGAGAAUGCUGGCUCUGAGUACAGAGUCAAGAGGAACCUUGAAAACUGCAUAGAGCUAGGUGAAAAAGCCAAAAAAGAAGACCGCAAG